rnacentral:rRNA from 1 species
UACAGAGAGUGCAAACGUUGUUCGGAAUUACUGGGCUUAAAGCGCACGUAGGCGGCAUCGUAAGUGUCAAGUGAAAUCCCACGGCUCACCCGUGGAACUGCUUGGCCUACUGCGGAGCUAGAGUGUGGUAGGGGAGAGCGGAACUCUUGGUGGAGCGGUGAAAUGCGUAGAUAUCAAGAGGAACACCGGUGGCGAAGGCGGCUCUCUGGUCCACAACUGACGCUGAGGUGCGAAAGCUAGGGGAGCAAACGGG